AAAAAAAGAAUGUGCUACACGGGCAGAUGAAAACAACCCAUGGUCUCGCGCGGAAAUGAGCGAAAUGACAGAGACGUAUCCGGUAGUUAGUAUUUAUCCGGAAUGCUAGUGCGCAAUGGCGGCAAUAAACAAACGAAGCGGAUACGUUGAAGGAAAAACUUCUUUAUUUAUUUCUUACCGUUAUGUAGACCAGUGAAAAUAAUGUACAACGAUUAAUCGCAUAAAUCCCAUGAAGAAUAGAAAACUGAAAGUAGGGCAAACAUAGAUCCCUGGACAUAUCAGAGGUGAGAUCAGUUUAUUUCAGGAAACAAAGCCUGUCUGAAACUCCAAAAUGACAUUUCCAGAAAGCUGAAGAAUGGAUAAAAAUGUAUCUACCAUCUUACAACCCAGAUUUCAUUCCACUGAAAAGAAAAGGGACAGGAAAUUUUGCAUGUCCAUGUCUUGGAAGGUGAAUAGGUGAAAAGUCAAUAGAUGCUUACCAUAUCAGAUGCUUGCAGAGGAUACUGGGGAUAAAGUAGCAGAAAAUUAUGGAAAACAGGAAGUGGCAGCCAGGACUGACAUCAAUGCAAUAAACAAUGAGCUGAGGAGACGGUGAUGGAACUAUAUAGGACACGUGCUAUGGAGGGGAGGUGACAAUGACAGUGAGAUGGCGUUGGGUUGGACACCAGAAGGGAAGAGGGCAUUUAAGAGACCGAAAACAACCUGGAGAGGAACAGUAGAAGCAGAAAGAAAGAUUGCAGAAUGGAGAAACUUGAAUGAGAUCAAGAUGGUAGCAAUAGAACAGAGUGGAUUGGAGAGAGUCUCGGUCCUAUGUGUUUUUGGCAUGGAGAGAACUAAGUAAUGUCUAGAUUGUUGGAGAUAGGAUGACCAGGAAUAUGAAUGGAUGUGCUGGAAACUGUACUAAGACCCUUAUGUAUUUGGAUAGAUUUACAUACCAUCAUGAUUUUGCUAUGAAAAACUUGAAAAAAAUCCUCAACUCAUAUUGUAGCUGACAUUGUACAUUUGUACUUAUUAAUAUUUCAAAUGAACAUAUUUUUAGACAUACAAUAUCUAAACUUUGGAGUCCAUGUACAUCUCCACAUUGGAUAAUAGGUUAUGAUGUAUGUGUGUGAAAUCUUUUCCUAUGGUAUGCACAUGUUAACACAUUAGUUUAAAUGAUGAUGUAUAUCUUAUGACUAUGGAAGAGAUUGUGUUCAGAACAGAAUAUGUGUCUAGAAGAGUUGUUGCCCUUGAAUGUAAUUCAUUAUUUACAUGGGGUUGAAAAAUAAUCCAGCACACAGUAGUACUAAAUGCAUUAUGUUAAAAUACAUUUAUGAAGGGUAUAAGUGAUACUGUCCAUUACUGAUUAAUACACUUUGUGAAAUCAUAUUGUUAUGUUUAAUAAAUUUCAAGGCUG